AUGAACGCGCUCCCUUCCCCCGCCGUGAAUGAAGGUUCCCACAGCCGGGGAGGGUGGCAAGGGCCCCCGCCGCGGAAUUGGCCCUCUCGGGGCCGGCGUCCCUCUCGGCUUGCGGUCACUUCGGCGAGGGAACAGGGGGCGAGGAAAGCGAAAAGGGGGAAGCUCCCUCUUGGACCUGGAGUCCGUCCCGCCGGAGUGGGCGAUCCUCGUUACGACCAGCUGCCCCUCCCCGUCCCCACUCUGCCUCUGGCUCGCCCGGGUCCGGGCACACGCGGGGCUCGGGCCCCUUCGCCUCCCGCCCUCCGGGACAGAAGCAACCCGGUGGUAGCGCGCAACCCCAUAAAUCAUCCCGGCGGCCGCCGGGUCGGGAUUUUAUGAAUGAAAAGCAACCCAGCCGCCCUCGUGCACGGGCUGAUGCUCCGAGGCUCCCGCGUGCCGGGGGCCAACGCGAGCCUGGGUGCCCAGGGAGGGAGACACGGCGGUGGGCGCUCCCUUGUCGGGCCAUCCGCUCCUCCCGAGGCGUGAGCCCAGGGUAAUUACCCUCCUGGACCCGGAAUAUUAGUAAUUCUGAUUCUCUGCGGGGGAGGGGCGCGGGAAGAAUCAGCUCUGAAGAGUGAGGGGGUCUUGUCCUGUUGUGUGCGCCCUUGCGAAGGGGAGGGGGGCUUUUUAAUCCGUUUUCUUUGAGCCUUUAACGUUAGGGUAUCAGAUGGUUUGAUGACACUAGACUAUAUUCAGAGGGAAGUUAAUGAACAGUGUUCUUAAUUUGGGGCAGGUAGAGUAAAAACUUUAAAAAAAUGUUAAGACUGGGUAAGAUGUCCUUUUAUUUUAAAAAUAAGCACCAAAGAGACUGAAUCUUUUCAGUCUCUGAAACUAUAUUCUUUUAUAUUCUUAUAAGUUUGCGAUUAAUAUUGGGGACUCGCGUAUAGCCACGAAUAUAUAUAGGUUUUGUUUAAAAUCAUCAGAUCAAUACACCUAUUUCUUUAACUUGUAAUUGUUCUGAUUGUUGCCAGACCCCCGCCAACCGCCUCAGGCUCUCGAAUGCAGCCCCCGGGCAAAUUCUAAAGGUGAAGAGAGGUCCACACCCCCAACAAAGCCAAUUAGGAAGUUUCCGGUGGUCUUCUCCCAGGCGGGGAGGCGACCAAUAUUUCCAGCGAUUUAGCUUAAUUUUUAAUUAAAAAAACGAGACAGGACAGAGACCACUGUUUUGCAGCCUUCCUUUCAGAGUGUUUUUCUAGCUGUUAAAUUGCCGGCACAGGGCGGGGGCGGGGGGGAAGUGUUGGGGGCCCCCCGCAAGAAUGGACUAGCUAAGGUAGGAAGACAGUGCGCAGAUCCCCCAGGCGAAGAGGACAGGGCGAAGGAAAUGCUGGCCACCAUCUUGGGCUGCUGCUGGAAUUUUCGGGCAUUUAUUUUAUUUUAUUUUUUGAGCGAGCGCGUGUUAGGCUGAAAGCCCUUUAACUUUGGGGGUUACCCCUCCGGCAUUUGCACAGACCCCCCUCGGUGCGGGAAUGAAACCUCCACCGGGGUUGUCGGCUCUGCCCUGAGUCCCUGAAUGGUAAAUGGUUCCUGAAAUUUACACGUGUUAAUGAAAAUGAAAGAAGACGUAGACGCUAAGAUCCCUUGGCUGCCUCCGCCCGUGGGUGCCCUCGUGGCGUUCUCGGAAAUGCGCCCAUUCUCCCGGCUCAGAGUGUCACCGAACCCCAGCGUCCCCCUCCACACGGUCUCCCCCAGCUGCGUGUGGCCUGCCCGCCCUCCUAGUUGUCCCCCUCUGCAGAGCCACCGUCACCCAACCCCCCAAAUCCUGCGGGACCCGCCCCGGGGGGAUCGCGCCCCCCCCCCCCCCGCCCACACGCCCCCCUUCCCUCGCUGU
ensembl:lincRNA